UAUAUAUAAUCUAGGUGUAGUGUGUGUGUGUGUGUGUGUAUAUAUAUUAUAUAAUUGGAACAAAUUAAUUUACCUACCUACGAAUUAAUUUCUAAUAAUUUACCUACAAAAAAUUAUCGUGUGUAAAUAUCUUUUUUUCACUAAUACAUGGAGAAUAAUUUACCCAUAACAAGAAGAAAUAUAAUUUGAUGUAUUAUAUUGAAAAAUAUUAUGCCAUACCUAUAUUUAUACAACAAUAAAACGUGCCUAAUAUAUUAACAGUACAUGAAAAAUAAUUUACCUACAAGUUAGAUAAGUGUUAUUUGAUACAAAAUAUAUAAUACGGAUUUAGUAUAAUUUUUUUUAAUAAUUGGAACAAAUUAAUUUACUUCCCAAUUAAUGCAAAAUAUAUAUAUCACAAAAAGGUAAAUUUUUGGUAUGAUAUGGAUACAAUUAAUGCAAUACAACAGUUUAUAUAUUUUAUUUCACUUUUUCUACAACUUUUAAUUUGGAAUAAAUUUAGGGAUUUGGGAAAGUGGCAUGUGUGUAAAUAAAUUGCAUUAGUAGGUCAAUAGUGCAUCGAUGUAGUUGCAGAUUUUAAAUUUUGGCUUUUAUUGGACGUUUAUAU
rnacentral:lncRNA from 1 species